rnacentral:lncRNA from 1 species
CUGCAUGGUAAUCAUACUUCGCAUUAAUUGUUACCCAAAAUAAUAAUGUUAUGCCAAGCAUAUUGAAUAUUAUGCUAUUCAAAAAAUCAAUACGUUUUAACACGCACUAAGCAGGACUGCGGAAUUAUUGUGACAAAUAGAAUCUUCGCGAUCUCUCCUUGCAACAAAUUCCGAAAAAUUUUCAAAAAAAAACAAAAACUCCUAUU